rnacentral:rRNA from 1 species
AGUGAACGCUGGCGGUAGGCCUAACACAUGCAAGUCGAACGGCAGCACAGGAGAGCUUGCUCUCUGGGUGGCGAGUGGCGGACGGGUGAGGAAUACAUCGGAAUCUACUCUGUCGUGGGGGAUAACGUAGGGAAACUUACGCUAAUACCGCAUACGACCUCCGGGUGAAAGCAGGGGAUCUUCGGACCUUGCGCGAUUGAAUGAGCCGAUGUCGGAGUAGCUAUUUGGCGGGGUAAAGGCUCACCAAGACGACGAUCCGUAGCUGGUCUGAGAGGAUGAUCAGCCACAAUGGAACUGAGACACGGUCCAGACUCCUACGGGAGGCAGCAGUGGGGAAUAUUGGACAAUGGGCGCAAGCCUGAUCCAGCCAUACCGCGUGGGUGAAGAAGGCCUUCGGGUUGUAAAGCCCUUUUGUUGGGAAAGAAAUCCAGCUGGCUAAUACCCGGUUGGGAUGACGGUACCCAAAGAAUAAGCACCGGCUAACUUCGUGCCAGCCGCCGCUGUAA